UCCGAUUUGUACAGACUUGAAUGAGAGUCACUGAGACAGGAUUCUCCAACCAAACCAUUUAUUUUCUCCGUCAUCCUUUUCGAAACUGUCAAACAAAAGUUCGCACUUACUCUAAAGAUCAUGCGCUUCAUAAUGGCUGAGUGAAAAUCGUAAACGCUGAAUCGAGUUUCCUGUGUCGUUUCUUUUCUUUUCACUUUUUUUUUGGUCCGAGGUCUUAUUUUAACAAAGCAAAGUGAACUUGAUCGGGCAUCCUCUGUGACACUGUGUGCUCAUGACCUUGCCAUGACCGCUCUGCCUGUGUGACCUCAGGAUGACCUUCAUGAGGAGAAGCAUGGCAGGACAGAUGAGUUUUCUGUGAAUAGGAAUUGGAGCACUGCGGCGCAGAAGCCACCCAGACGCCGUAGACCUCAUUCUUCCUGCUCACCCACUCCAUCACACAACCACACACAGUAUCAGCACACACCUGCACAUGUCAUACAUUUAAAAAAGGUUCACUAUAUGACAGUACUGCUGUGCUGUUGGUCAUAAUGCCAGAUUCAUAUCAUAAGGGAGAAGAUAUAAUUACCACUGGGAACCAACUGGAAAAUGUUUCACAUUGACUUCUAAAACGUAGUCAGAAAUUAGUUGGCUUUGUAACAGGCUUGAUUUUUUUUGAUCCUGGCUGCAAAUUAAAUGCAAACGGUUCUUAAGAAUUACACCAUCUCAGUAAUUUUAAUAUUAAUAAUAUUAAAACAAUGUUAUUUUCUCAGAGACCCACUUUCAACAGACCAAAGCGUUUCUUCAUUAUAUGCCGCAUUAGCCACUGUUGUGAUCUACUUUCAUACAUCAGUGCCCCAUGACAUUAACAGGGGUGUCCUACAUUUCUGCUAUUACAUGCUGUGGAAAUCCAAAUAUACAUGGACUGCUGGUAAUUUGAAAGCAUGGUUAGUGCAUGCGUGGUGCACAACAUGAGAGAAAAAUAAAGCUUUAAAUACUAGAUCCCUAGAGUUAGCAGGUCAGGUGGUUCUUUUAUGCUGUUCUCCUGGAGGGAAGGGUCACUUCAAAUCAGCUCUUCUGAUUGAUCGCCUUUAUUCUACUAUGAAACAUUUCUAUCCUAAUGGGAAUGGUUGACUCUACCCGUAGUGCAUGAGGAUUCACCAAAUAGUUUGAGGAUAAUUAAAUGGUGUAAAUCAUAUGAUAUGACAUUCACAAUCACCAGCUCUCAAUCCAGUUGAACGCUUUUGGGAGAUUUUGGACUGACAUGUGAGACAGCGCUCUCUGCCAGCGUCGUCAAAACACCAUCUGAGAGAACAUCGUUUGGGCGAAUAAUGUCUAUCUCUCAAGUAAAGUUCCAGAGACUUCCGGAGAAUCAGUGCCAAGGUGCACUGAAGCAGUUCUAGUGGCUUGUGAUGGAUUAACAUCCUACUAAGACCCUUUAUUUUGUUUCUUUCUUGAAUUAGUCACCUACCUGUGCAGCACAUGUUGAUGAAAAGAUAAAAAGGUACUGUACAACCAGCAUUUUUCUAUGCAAGGGAAAUAAAGAUGCAUAAACAGGUUGAAUUGGGAAUACUGUGCAUUUUCAUAUGCUCCCCAAUUCACUGUUCUGAUUGCAGCAUAAGGCAAGGUGCGCACCAGCACUGCUUCCGUCUCUAUUGCUCUUCAGUUUAAUCAGUCCGCAUGGUAUCAGCAGCCCAGCAGGAUUUUAUCUUCAUUUUUACAAGUUUCUGUAAUUCCCUUUUUAUGUUGUUCUCUCAUUUUUAUUGUGUCUUUUGAGUUCUGUAUAAAUUUAUUGUCAGAUUGAACACACUGUUUAAAUCGCUACCAUCUGUAGAUACUUAGUUUUUUUACAUUCUAAUCAUGCAAAGAUCACUGAAUUAAAAAAAGGCUCUAGAAAAGGUAAUGUGUAAUAAAAAUAUAACAGUGUUUGCUUUGUUUCAGUUAAAAAAAAGCCAUUAGGGCUCUCAGUUUUAGUUGGAGUGCACGUUGAGGUUUUGCCUCAGCCACUAGCAAGGUCGCUGAUUGACUUGAGUCUCAAUUAGGGACAAUGCAUUUAGUCCCCUGAGUGCUCUUAUGUAAAUCACUAGCUCAGAUGCUGACAGCAGUGCCCACGCGCACACAGAUCACACGACACAUGCAGUUUAAUUAGGCCUAGGUGCGCAUGCACAGAGCUCACUGACAGAUGUGCGAGUGUGUGUGGGGGUGGGUGGGUUCGCUAAUCUUAUUGUGUCCUACUAUGAACCCAUUAAUAGCAUUUCUGGAUGUCCAGGUAUGCAUGAAAUAAACAUAUAUUUGUCUGUGUGUAUGUGUGAGGGGAAGAAGGCUUGCAUCACAAAAUGGCUGAACCUGUUUUCCACAAUAGGGUCUGUGUACUUAUUAUUAUCAUAAUAUAAAUGAAUCAUGAAUUCUGAAGGCUGCUCCAGGUCAUUCUUCAUCAGACACUCAGUAUGCAAUCUUUAACAAUUUCCAAAGUUCUGGUGGCCAUUAUAGUUAAUGUGGAUCUCGUUCCCCGUAUCUCAGUUUGAUUAAUACUCCUGCUAUGUUCAGAAAAACCACAAGAGAAGAGAAGAAACCAGAAGAGCUGACCCUAGAUCAGCAAGCGUGCCGAAAGAAUCUGCUAAUACAUAACAAUUAUACGUCAUAAAAAACCCACACAUUAAGCACACCAUUUCCAUGAUUAGUCUAUUUAUUUAUUUCAAAGGCACAAGAAACAGUAUGCAACAAAAGAAGGAUGCAGAUUUUCUGCCGGAAAAAAAUAAUAACUGUUUUGAUUAAUAUCACAAUCAAGGUAAUAAAGUGGUAUCAGGAGUAAUUGUGGACGUGGCAGAAAACACAAAUAAUUGUGAUUCAUCAGAGCAAUCUCAGAAUACACAUCUGGAUUUGUGGAAAAUGGUUAUCAUCAUUGAAACUCAUAUGUUAAAUGUCAGUAAUUUGUUAGGACAAGUUUUAGUAGUACAGCUGUUUGACUCGCAUAUGUAGUCAAUAUUAAAUGACAGGCAGAUUCUGUCUUAAUGGUAUACUGUGGAACACACACACACAGACACACACACACACACAAAACCAGCUAACAAGCAUGCUAUUUUCGUGCUUUUUAAUGAUCAGGGAACCUUCAAGCCUGCCAAUUAAAUAAGCCAAUAAGAGGCUAUUAAAUAAUACAUGGCUGUUAUUUAGUGUCACAAUUAAAAAAUGCACAUCACUGUAAACUCAAACAGCAGAAACAACAGACCUUUCAUUUAGAUGGGAACGAUAAUGCUCUGGGUCCUAAAGCUGCCCUUACAUCUGAGCACCAGUGGUGACCAGACAUAUGCCCGUUUAAAACGCUGUAAAGCAGAGAUCCCUUUUUAAUGGGCCGUGCCAAGCCCAUAGGACAGACGCACAGGGAAAAGAGAGAGAUGAUCCAUCUUCGCCCCUCUUUUUUUAUAGGGACCAAUAAAGGUGUCUGUCAUAAAUUGUUUGGAGAUCCCCCACUCUUGAAAAGCUCCACAAUAAUGAAGGAGCACUGGACAAGCUGAAUAAAUCUCGUCCACAUACACAGGCUGGCAUUGAUAGAAAUGCACGCAAACAGGCUCAAUGUUCACAAAUUCAAUGAUGUGGCAGAUUGGAAAUAUGAACACACAUGCUUGGCCACUCAUUUUAUUUUGGCAUGGAUUAGCAGGCCUGGUCUGUCCACAGAUAAAAGACUUUUCAACACCUCACAUCUUUCAGACAUACACAUCAGCACUGGAGGAGACAUUUGUAAAUGUACACAACUGCUUACUGUGUUUCAACAGCCAGAAUCUGGUGUGGGUAUUUAUGGAUGAUGCUAUAAUAUAAACUGCCUUACUGCAAGGGUAACUUCCACAACACACACCAAUGUACGUAGAUGCAUUUCUAUGGUGGGUGGCUUUUUGUGUGGUUAUGUUCAUUGUUUUGUCUGCGAUUA